CCUUACCAGGCCUUGACAUGCAGAGAACUUCCAGAGAUGGAUGGUGCCUUCGGGAACUCUGACACAGGUGCUGCAUGGCUGUCGUCAGCUCGUGUCGUGAGGAUGUUGGGUUAAGUCCCGUAACGAGCGCAACCCUUGUCCUUAGUUACCAGCACGUUAUGGUGGGCACUCUAAGGAGACUGCCGGUGACAAACCGGAGGAAGGUGGGGAUGACGUCAAGUCAUCAUGGCCCUUACGGCCUGGGCUACACACGUGCUACAAUGGUCGGUACAAAGGGUUGCCAAGCCGCGAGGUGGAGCUAAUCCCAAUAAAACCGAUCGUAGUCCGGAUCGCAGUCUGCAACUCGACUGCGUGAAGUCGGAAUCGCUAGUAAUCGUGAAUCAGAAUGUCACGGUGAAUACGUUCCCGGGCCUU
rnacentral:rRNA from 1 species